GAGCCUCUGUUUGAUUCUACUAGCUAGAAAGUCCGGAACCCAGGCGACAACAUUGCAUAUUGAUUUUUAGAGUCGACAACGCUGUAAAAUAGAAACGAAAUUUCUGUGCUACAGUUUUAUGUAGUCCACUAGCUGACUGUUCUAUUUAGGCAGAGGGCGCGAGAAACCUUCCGUUUUUAGCGAUGUCGGUAUUUCAGAACAUGUGACACGGAACCUCAUAUGCUGACCAAUUUACUCUGGUAGUUCGUCUGUGGUAUCACGUUCAACUGCAUUCAACCACAGACUUAGGAUUCGUACAGACAAUGCAUCUUAUGGGCUUUUCUGUCUCAGCUUUGGAAGGCUCGAGAUUAGUAACACAAUUUCUGCUUGGUAACGUGGAACUCCUAGGAUCGAAACUCUGGUACAUUAUUGCAUUAAUGCAAUUUAAAUUGAGCGAACUUGGCUAAACCCGCUGAUACAUAAAUACACGUGGUCGAGUAACGAUUAGUGUUACCGUUAAUUACAUUUAUCUCAACGAUUCUGUAACAAAAUCAUGACCAAAACUAUUUAUCGACUAGAAACAGCCGGGAGGUCGGUUCUUUCCGUGAGUUUGCUAUAGAACCGCCAAAACAAGGAACGAGAAUUUCUGAGAUGUCGGGUGAACCUAUGAGGAUUAUAAAGUGGGAAUUAUUCUGGCCUCUGGAAACUAGCCAUUCGCCUGUGUAGCAGGUAUACCGUGUAUCAUACAUUCAUGAACAUUUCCCGAUUUACUAGGAGGCUUGUAUGCUGAAAUGAGGACCCCGUUCAUCGGUUUUUAUCGGUACUCCGUGAGAAAUUGUAACUCCGUAAAUCUAUUCUGAACGUAGCUGAAAUGUCGUGUUGUUACCCACGUUGGACAUUACACUUCAAAAAUAAUGCAUAGUAAGGGAAUUUUAGAUUUGCAGGGUACAAAAUCGUAACUGCGAAUAUUGCAACAUUGCGGCCGAUACGACGGAAGGUUGAAACCGUCGAAAAGUUGAUGGCGGAGCGAGAGAACGACCGGUUCGAGCGGAAAUCCAGGGCGAAGGUUUCAGGGUUCCGGUUGCGAUGCAGGGUACGGGUCGUCGCCGCGUAUGCGUCCGUAUCGCAGCGAGAUCCGGGCGAAGGAGUAUCAGGAAGAAUGGAAAGGGGAAUGUCGGUCACUGGGCCUUUCCUCGUGAUGACGGUACUCCGUUUAGCGCCUCGGGGCCACCACCUAGGAAUGUUGGAGGAGCACGAGCCUCUCUCUUUCUUACUCUCCUCUCUGGCCGCUGUUUCUUCCCAUCGAUUCUCUAAAUUGGUAGCACUCGCUUCCACGACCUAUCCGGCAAACAUCUCUGCUGAAUUUUUGCGAAAUAAGUCCGACUACACGUACAACCGAACAGGUCGUUAUGUCUGCUGCCCGGGGAAGUAUCGUUUGUUGGACUUAAAGUACUUACCGAGCGACCAAUGCCAUUUGUUUUCAAUUAGAAACACUGCAGGAGCAUGUUUGUCCUUUGACUCGUGUUCCAUGUGCCGGGAACGUAAUCCCAAUGGAAUAAAAUACCUAAAACAGGUGACUUUGGUAAUUCUAAUGUUACGAUUAAAUUGAAUUAGUCUUUUA